rnacentral:rRNA from 1 species
CGCUCUUUGCCUAUUUUUUAUAAUGAGUCGAACCUGCCCAGUGAUUUUUAUUUAACGGCCGCGGUACUCUGACCGUGCAAAGGUAGCAUAAUCAUUUGCCUUAUAAUUAAAGGCUAGUAUGAACGGUUUGACAAGAAUAAAGCUGUCUCACGCAAAUUUUAUAAAAUUUGGUUUUUAGGUGAAGAAACCUAAAUAAAAUUGAAAGACAAGAAGACCCUAUCGAGCUUAAAAUAACUUUUGUGAUAUUAUGUUAAAAUCAGUUUUACAAAAAAAUUUUGGUUGGGGCGACUAAGGAACAUAAAAAGCUUCCUAUGAAAUGUAAAAACUUUUAAGUUUUGAUCCAAAAAUUUUGAUUAACAAAAUUAGUUACCGUAGGGAUAACAGCAUAAUCUUUUUUGAGAGUUCUCAUCGAAAAAAAGGUUUGUGACCUCGAUGUUGGACUAGGGUAACCCGAAAGGUGCAGAAGCCUUCAAUGGUUGGUCUGUUCGACCACUAAGACCCUACGU